rnacentral:tRNA from 1 species
AGCUUUUUAGUUUAUAUAAAAAUUUUUGCUUGUGGUGUAAAAGAAUUUAAAGCUA